GGCCGUGGUCACGAUGAUAAAGGCAGAACUUGUUAGGGUUGCACUUCUUGGGGUGUGUGCACAUCCUUUCUGGCCUUGACAGCUGCUCCCUGAUCUCCAUCAGCACUUGAGUUUUUGGAGCAUUGAGUGGGGUGUAGCUGUGGAAUCUUUCUGAGGGAGAGCUCUGUCGAACUCUGCGGUCCGGGCUUCUCUGCCUCCAAGCUCGGGGGGG
rnacentral:lncRNA from 1 species